rnacentral:rRNA from 1 species
UACGUAGGGUGCGAGCGUUGUCCGGAAUUAUUGGGCGUAAAGAGCUUGUAGGCGGUUUGUCGCGUCUGCCGUGAAAGCCCAGGGCUUAACCCUGGGUCUGCGGUGGGUACGGGCAGACUAGAGUGUGGUAGGGGAGACUGGAAUUCCUGGUGUAGCGGUGAAAUGCGCAGAUAUCAGGAGGAACACCGGUGGCGAAGGCGGGUCUCUGGGCCGAUACUGACGCUGAGGAGCGAAAGCGUGGGGAGCAAACAGG